rnacentral:tRNA from 1 species
GGUGCCGUAGCCAAGUGGUUAGGCAGCGGUCUGCAAAACCGCGUACGUUGGUUCGAAUCCAAUCGGCACCU